rnacentral:rRNA from 1 species
CAAGCCAUGCAUGUGUAAGAUUAAAUAACUUUAUCUUGAAUCUGCGAAUGGCUCAUUAUAUCAGUAAUAAUUUACAUGAUAAUUCAAUACUACUUGGAUAACCGUAGUAAUUCUAGAGCUAAUACAUGCAUAAAAACCUGACUUCUGGAAGGGUUGUAUUUAUUAGAAUAAACCAAUUCGUUUUCGGACGAUAUUGUGGUGAGUCAUAAUAACUUAGCGGAUCGCAGCGGUCUUGUACCGGCGAUGAAUCAUUCAAGUUUCUGCCCUAUCAGCUUUCGAUGGUAGUGUAUUGGACUACCAUGGCGGUAACGGGUAACGAAGAAUAAGGGUUCGAUUUCGGAGAGGGAGCCUGAGAAACGGCUACCACAUCCAAGGAAGGCAGCAGGCGCGUAAAUUACUCAAUCCUGACACAGGGAGGUAGUGACAAUAAAUAACAAUGCGGGACUCUUUGAGUUUUGCAAUUGGAAUGAGAACAAUUUAAAUCCCUUAGCGAGGAUCAAUUGGAGGGCAAGUCUGGUGCCAGCAGCCGCGGUAAUUCCAGCUCCAAUAGCGUAUAUUAAAGUUGUUGCAGUUAAAAAGCUCGUAGUUGGAUUUCUGAGAUUAACUAUCGGUCCGCAGCUUUUAAUAGUUGUGUGUACUGUUUUUGUUUAAUUUCAUCCUUGUAGUGAUUGCAUCUGGCAUUUAUUUGUCGGGUGUAGGAGCUGCAUCGUUUACUGUGAAAAAAUUAGAGUGUUUAAAGCAGGCUUAUGCCGUGAAUACAUUAGCAUGGAAUGAUAUUAUAGGACUUUGGUACUAUUUUA